rnacentral:rRNA from 1 species
CUACGUGCCAGCAGCCGCGGUAAUACGGAGGAUGCGAGCGUUAUCCGGAUUUAUUGGGUUUAAAGGGUGCGUAGGCGGCCUGUUAAGUCAGCGGUGAAAUCUAGGAGCUUAACUCCUAAAUUGCCAUCGAUACUGGCGGGCUUGAGUGUAGAUGAGGUAGGCGGAAUGCGUGGUGUAGCGGUGGAAUGCAUAGAUAUCACGCAGAACUCCGAUUGCGAAGGCAGCUUACUAAGGUACAACUGACGCUGAAGCACGAAAGCGUGGGUAUCAAACAGGAUUAGAUACCCUGGUAGUCCACGCAGUAAACGAUGAUAACUGGGCGUAUGCGAUAUACAGUAUGCUCCUAAGCGAAAGCGUUAAGUUAUCCACCUGGGGAGUACGCCGGCAACGGUGAAACUCAAAGGAAUUGACGGGGGCCCGCACAGGCGGAGGAACAUGUGGUUUAAUUCGAUGAUACGCGAGGAACCUUACCCGGGAUUGAA